rnacentral:tRNA from 1 species
GCUCCCGUAGCUCAGGGGAUAGAGCACAGCUUUCCUAAAGCUGGUGUCGGAGGUUCGAAUCCUCUCGGGAGUGC